GAGCGUUAGAGAUGGAGACUAACGUCUUCCAAGGGAGAUUGCGUCUCCACUUUCACCCUGGUACUGAGAGGUUGAGCACAAAAUUGGUAACCAAUGCUGCGCUUCCAGCAAAUUUUCCCACCAGCACCCAAUCCUGGGAUAUUUAUUCUCUUUGUCUCACAUCCUACAGGAACGCAGUCGCGGGGUAUAUCCCCCUGAAAACCAUUGGCCUGGGGUACAUCAUCUAAAGAUCCUAGGAUUGCUGCAGGUCAGCAGUCUCCACUGGAAAAAAAGAUCUUGGUAAGUAAAUUAUCUUCACAUCAUACAGUUUGGAACUACACAGAGAAGGAAUCUUAGGUUUAAAAUCCUUCUGCCCAAGUGACACAUUCAGGUAGUAUGUCUACACUGGCAAAUGUUACCCAGCUAUAUCCACAGUUGCAAAACAAAGUAUCAUUUUUGGAAACUUCCAACACCAUACAUUUUUAAACCUAGUUACUGAUUUGUGGUGGUGAGUACUUAAUACUUUCAGAGCUCCCAGGCUCACCUGGGAGUGAUGGGAAUAAAAUAACAACUAAGCUAAAGUAAAGAGCAUGUAGCUUUUCCUGGUGUCAUUAGGGAGGGUGGGCUUGGCUCCUGUUUAAAUGUGUUCAAAGGAAAAAGAUGAUCACAUUAUAAAUUUCUGACUUCACUUUGACAGAAUCUAGGUGGUGUGCAUACAACAGCAGCAAGACAGUUGAUAAUGCAGAAAUAUCAGGAGGAGUGUGAAAUACUCUGUAGGGAGCAAGCUGUUUCUCUUGACUACUGGCUUGCCAAAGCAGAGUCUUAUUAUAAUAAAAUAAUAGUGGAAAUGAUGAAAGAAGAGACAGGCAAUGAAAUCUAGAAAAAAA
ensembl:lncRNA POLR1HASP POLR1H antisense, pseudogene